UACGAAGGGGGCUAGCGUUGCUCGGAAUCACUGGGCGUAAAGGGUGCGUAGGCGGGUUCUUAAGUCAGAGGUGAAAUCCUGGAGCUCAACUCCAGAACUGCCUUUGAUACUGAGAGUCUUGAGUUCGGGAGAGGUGAGUGGAACUGCGAGUGUAGAGGUGAAAUUCGUAGAUAUUCGCAAGAACACCAGUGGCGAAGGCGGCUCACUGGCCCGAUACUGACGCUGAGGCACGAAAGCGUGGGGAGCGAACAGG
rnacentral:rRNA from 1 species